GGGCUGAACACUUUGGGGUCCUCAAAGUAAUGUUUUUCAUUUUUGUAUUUUUAAUGUAAGAGUUAAACUAUUUUCAUUGCAUCAUAAUUGAAGAGAAGUCAUUUUCGAUAACUGAAGAAUAAAGAUAUUUUUAUUUCAGUUAAGGAUAUUUUAUUAUAUUUUGAGCAAAUGAGAACCUUUGUUUAUGAGGGAAUAACACAACUGCUUUUUGUUUUUUAAAAUUUUUUAUUUUUUAUUUUUUUGGUUUUUAGGGCCAUGCCUGCGGCAUACCGAAGUUCCCAGGCUAGGGGUCAAAUCAGAGCCGCAUUUGCCAGCCUGUGCCACAGCCAUAGCAACACCAGAUCCUUAACCCACUGAGCGAGGCUGCGAGGCCAGGGAUCCGAACCCACAUCCUUAUGGUUACUAGUCGGGUUUGUUACUGCUGAGCCAAACGGGAACUCCACAACUGCUUUUAAAUGUGGGAAUUUUCAACUAGAAAAUGUGCUGUUUGAAAUCGUUAAGACGGAUGUUGGUUGAAGCAUGAAUACUUCUCACUGCAGGUUGAAGGUCUUGAACUAGAAGACAAAAACUCACAGAAAAUGAAUUGCCCACUAUUAAAAAUAUUUCUCAUUUUCAAGAUUGAAUGAGGGUAAAUUUAGCGUAUAACUACAAUAAUAGUUAAAAUUAUAUCUUCUUUCUUAGCAUUAGUAGCGUAACUUUCAAGCAUUAGUAGUGACAUAUUUUUGCCACCUUAUAAAAUGUACAUGGAAAAAUCUGCAGAAGUGUUUUUAUUUGAUAUUAAUGAAAAAAGGAAUAUAUAUUAAAAUAAGAAUAUUUUAAAUAACUAAGAACAAGCCAUCUCUGAGGUACCUGGUACGCAGUAGAGAUGGGGAAUACAGUUGUAAGCGGUAUGGAUGUGGGCUCAGCCCAAAGGGAGGUUACAUCCACAGGGCACAUAGAUCAUUGUCAUUCAGCAUAAAGUGGCACCAAGUGACCGUGCCUGAAACUAGAAUAAUAUUUCAUUUGGAUUUUCUGGACAUAUUAAAUUACAAUCUUUACCAUGUAAUGUAUUUAUGACAUAGAGCAAGUUAAAGUAUGUGACAGGUUUGAAAUAUACAAAAGAGCUGGUCUUACCUGCUCUCUUUUGUUGAGUAGUGAGCUAUCAUGAGGGCAUGUUGAAAUGACAAGUCCAUCUCUAUGUAAGAAGGACCAUUGUUUGGUAGGUGAUUCCUGGAUCUUUCCAUCAUCAGUUCCUCUUACCCCAUGCCCUGUUUGUGUGUGCUGCUUUAUCCAUCAGAGGUGCGUUCUGUUUCCCUCACCCUGGAUUAGAUUAGACUGGCCUUGGGACUUGCACCGACUAAUAGGACACCACAGAAGAAGCUGUCCGGGACUUCAGGCCAGGCCUUAAGAGGGCAGACCUUUUCCUUCCUUCGUCUUUGAAGCCAGUCAUGUCAAAGGUCCAGCUCCUCUGCUGGAGGGAGAGGCCACGCGGGAGGCUUCAAGCCGUCUUGAAUGUUUUACUCCCAGCCAAGCAACUAGCUAAAUGGAGCUGCAUGGUUGAGCCUAAGAGAGACGGCAGAAGAACCACCCAGCUGAGAUAGAGCCAAUUCACAGAAUCCGGAGAAUCAUUCGUUAUCGCUGAGCCUCUGAGUUUUGGGGUGGUUUGUUACUCAGCAGCAAAUGACUGAAACAUGUGGUGUAGGAUGGAAAUCAUUCCGUAUUGAGCUGUGCAGACUCAUGUCCUGAAUUGAGCUGAACUGAUCUGAGACGUUUCUGACAACUCAGUGUGAAAGAGUUUUGGCAGAAUUACUUAAUUUCCGUAUGUGGUUUAUGAGAAUUCGUCUUUAUAAGGCAUUGCAUUUAAUACCCUGACUGAGGCCUACAAGGCGUUUGUUAACGUGAUAACACGUCUCGGUUUUGCUUGCUUGCUCCCGGCGAGUACUGCAGGGUGGCCGUCGCCACGUGGUCCUCUCCGUAGUAACGUGCAUGGCAUGCGUUGCAGUGGCGUCUCCUCUCAGAGUACUCGUGGUUUGCUGGAGUAUAGCCAUUAUAUUCUUACGCAUGAUGUUCCCUGAAUUGCAUUUUUACUGAAUUAUUUUGGUUUCCCUAUUCUGUGUGUGUCUUGAAUACGGACUGAUUUACAUAAACAGUACUUCGAUAUGUUUUGUCUGUGGCCAUGGUCUCAGGUUAAGGCGCAGGGUCGUCACAGAGGAAUGUAAUUAGAGCGAGAAAGUAGACUCAUCAUUGAAAGGAAAUGGUUCUGAUGUGUUGUCAUUGCUCUAAGUGUUGUCAUACUUGUGGCCAUUGUAAUGGGACUUGCUUGGUACUGUUUGGCGUAAAUCAGGACUGAUUUGGGUACUGGAACUGGGUGGAAUGAAUGGAAAACAUAUUUCCAGCUUAGGAGAGCUUCUCCUUGGAGGCGCAUCCUGCCGAGGUGGGAGUGGAUGGUGUGGUUUUCCGGUGACCCUCCUCAGCCAUGUGUGUCCUUGUGGUCUGCUCCUAUCACAGGUCCAAGGUGGUGCUGCCCUUUAGCCGUCAUAGGCCGUCAGCAGUGACUAGACUCAGAGAAAAAGUCAUAUCCUCUCCUGUGUCUCUUUUUAAAAAAGUAUUCCUUUUCAAGUUCCCCUCAUGGCUCAGUGGUUAAUGAACCCAAGUAGCAUCCAUGAGGACGAGGGUUCGAUCCCUGGCCUCGCUCAGUGAGUUAAGGAUCCGGCAUUGCCCCAUGUCUGUGACCGACACCACAGCUCACAGCGGUGCCAGAUCCUUAACGCACUGAGCACGGCCAGGGAUCAGACCUGCUUCUUCAUGGUUGCGAGUCUGAUUUCAUUCAUCUCUGAGCCACAGCAGGAACUCCUGUUUGUUUGUUUGUUUUGACAGUAGCUGUCCCAACAUGUGGGAGGUGAUGACUGUCUUUUUUGAAGAUGGAGAAAAACCUUACCAAGAAGUCUGCUAGCUUAGGUCACCGUUUCAUUUUUCAGAGUUGUACUUCUUUUCUGUGCCUGAGCCGGUCACUAGUGGGAGGAAUGGAAUUAAGGCGGUUGGGGAUGGGAGGAGUCACUUCCUAGAACACACGGUGCAAGUUUGUGUUACUAAUUCUGCUUAAAAACCAGUGUUUUUUAAAACUGAGCUGUUGGAUUAUAUUUAUUUAUAUUAUAUAUAAUUUAUGUACAUAUUAUAUAGUUUGUACAUAUAAUUAUUACAUGUACUUUAAAAAUUGAUAUAUGGGUUUAAAUAAUUGUCUUUUUUGUGGAUUUUUUAAACUUACAGUUGAUUUACAGUGUUGUGCCAGUUUCUGCUGUAUAGCAAAGUGUCUCAGUCAUAUAUAGAUACAUUUUUAAAAGUAUUAUUUUCCAUUGUGGUCUAUCCCAGGAGAUUGGAUACAGUUCCCUGUGCCUGCAGUGGGACCUCAUUGCGUUUUCAUUCUGAAUGUAAUAGUUUGCAUCUCCCAAUCCCAAGCUCUCUGUUCAUCCCACUUCCCCUUGGCAAUCACAAGUUUGUUCUCCAAGUCUGUGAAUCUAGUUUCUAUUUUGUAGUUAGGUUCAUUUGUGCCCAGGUAUUAGAUUCCACAUAUAAAUGAUAUGUGAUAUUUGUCUUUCUCUUGCUGACUUCAUGUAGUAUGAUAAUUUCUAGUUACAUCCAUGUUGCUGUGAAUGGCACCUUUUCACUCUUUUUUUAAUGGCUUUUCAUUCUUUAUAAUGUUCCAUGGAUGUUUAGAUUGCUUCCAUGUCCUAGCUAUUGUGAAUAGUGCCGCUGUGAACCCAGGGGUGCAUGUGUCUUUUCACAUUAUAGUUUUGUCUGGAUGUGUGUCCAGGAGUGGGACUACUGGAUCAUGUGAUAGUCCUAGAUUUAGUUUUCUGAGGCACCUCCAUACUGUCUUCCCUAAUAGUUAUACCAGUUUACAUGCCCACCAACAGUGCAGGAGGGUUCCCUUUGCUCCACACCCUCUCCAGCGUUUGUAAUUUGUAGACUUAUUAAUGAUGGCCAUUCUGACAGGUGUGAGGUGGUACCUCAUUGUAGUUUUGAUUUGCAUUUCUCUAAUAAUUAGCGGUGUUGAGCAUCUUUUCAUGUGCCUACUGGCCAUCUGUAUGGCUUCUUUGGAGACAUAAACACAUUUAGUUUUCCAAAAAAAAAAAAUGAAUAGCCCUGUGCUUUCAAAUGUUUAAUAUUUGCACAUAAAGCUUAGUUUAUAUUCUCUAUUUUGACACCUUCUCAUACAUUUCCAAACUAUUCCUUUUCCUUUGAAAGUGAAAAUUGGAGUAUAUGGAAGUAGGGUUAGGAAUCAUUUUUAAGUUUCUUCUCCAUAUUGUCCCUCAGACUGCUGCUGUAAGGCCAUUCUGUGAUCUGAAGGAGGUGUUUUGACCGAGUUCUUUCUCCAGACUUGUAAGCAGGCCAAAGUAAACAGUGAUUCUGGCAGCCUGCUUUGGUAUCAUGGCAUGGCCAGACAUCAGAUAGUUGAAACCUCAAAAAGGUUCGGAAGUGUCGGAAGAGAAACAAAAGGCUAAUUCAUCUGUGAUUAAUCGUUCUUAAACUCAAUGCCUCAGCUCCGUUGUGGUCAAAUAGCACCUCUGGAAUUGUGCAUCGGUUUGCCUAAAAGAAGGUAGUCGGCAUUUUACUGUUAAAAAAGCACCUACCAAAAAACCCCCUAGAGUUGACAGAGCAGCAUCUGCAAAAUCCUGUGCUACUGAGAUCCCCAGGCUUUUCAAAGCUUCCCGACUAGACAAAUUAGUACUUUUUUUUUUUUUUUUUUUUUAACUACAAUCUUGCAAUCCAGGGCGAUACAUUUGGGUACAUGUGGUAGUGGCUUUGCUACUGCUGGUUUGAAAGAAAUACAAAUGAUCUCAUCACCUACCCACAGCACAGAACACCGGAGUUUUUGACUCAGCAUCUAUUUUUCUUGAUGUUAAAUGAAACGUCCCAUGAAUUAGAUGUGGUCAGUAGAAAAACUACCACAUAAUUGUAGUAAGAGGAUUUUUUAUGCCUCCUACAGGCAGUGGGAGGAAAGAGAAUAACAUGCUCAUCACAUAUUCUGGUUUUUCAGUCUUCACGUGUGGAAUUUUGUCAUCAGAGCCAGAAGCAUGUUUUAAGGGUCAUGUGUUCCAAGCGUCUCAAUCACUGAGAAAAUUGAAGCUCAACUUGGUUACCUUGCCCAGAGUUUGCAUUAACUCACGUUUUAAUUUUAGCAACAUGAAGAAGCCUUUGAAGACCCAAAAGUCAUAUAAAUGGCAUUGUUUAUCAGACUUAUGAUGAAGUGUGUAUAACUUUUUAUCUUAGAGAAACCCGAAGCGCGCGCAUAUAGAUGGAAAGUAAACGUUAACUGGGGAAUAAGAACAUGUUUAAUCACGUGCCUUUUCGCCCAUCCUUCUCCUCAUCUCUGUUUCCACAAUGAAAGGGAAGCUUGAUACACAACGUACUUCCUAACCUUUGAAAAACAUCGGUCAUCUUUGGACUUUUGAAAAACACUCGCGUCCCAGUUCCGUCCUGACCUACUGAGGAAGAAAGCCUGCUGUCCUGCUUCUCGAAGCCCCAUCUCUGAUUGCCAGGCACUGUGUUAGGUACCCUUGACCUUCCCUUCCUCCACGCCUGAGCCAGCUCUCACCUCUGAAAGGUAUUGCCCUCAUCCGGGCGGGUGCAGGUCAUAGCCCCCUUUCCAGGUCGAGUGCCUGUCCCUGCUCCUCUGUGUCCCCCUCCCACCCAGCCCCUCCCUGUGGAGGCUGGGGCUGCCCUCCCCGGUUGCGGUUGCGUGAACCCCGGUCAUUUCUGAGCUCUCCGUCUGGGGCUCUCCUCUGCCACCUGCUGUUCGGAGUGUGCUCAGCAGUCCGCGUGUGUGGAAGGCCUCCUGUGUCUGAAGCGUCCCGCCGGGGGCCACGGCCAGAGGAGGGUGAUCCGAUGUGGUUCCUCCUCGUCAGUUCCUUGGGCAAGUCGUGUCUUACCUGUCACUGUCCCCAGGGCCCAGCCAACUCGUUGGCAGCUAGAAGGUUCUCAGUGGGCUUACUGGCAGGUGUGACGUGGGGGGGCAGACACCCAGCUGGGUGGCUGCGCCUGGGACGGGAGGGAACGCGAGUGAGAGCUGCGUGGGGAGCUGGGAGCUGGCUUAGGGAAGAUGGACGAGUCCCACCUCAGCAGUACAGUUGAUGUUGUCCAUGAAUUGUCUCGCUGGCGUCUCCGUAGUUUUAUUUUCUUAAGUAAACUUGUCAUUGAAGUGUGUGUCCACAAAAGAAGUGUGCUGUUCUUAAGUGAACAACUGGACACAUUUUCACAAUCUUCAUGCCCGUUCUUAGACUUUACAUAGAUGGAAUCACUGAGUGUGUUUUAUUUGGGGACUGGCUGGUUCACUCCGCACUGUGUGUGUGUGUGUGUGUGUGUGUGUGUGAGAGAGAUUCACCCACGUGCUGGUGUGUAGCAAUGGCUGGUUCAUUCGCGUUGCCUUUAUGCCCUUUCUCCUGUUAAUGGACUGAUCUAAGAGCAGCUAUGAACAUUUUUUUAUGUCUUUUGGUGAACAUAGGUGUGCAUUUCUGAUGGGUAUAGACCUAGAUGUGGAAUCACAGGAUUGUAGGUGGUGGGAAGAGUCAGGUUUAGUUUGGUUCACACUGCCCAGCGUUUUUUUUUAAGUGAUUAUACUAAUUUACACUCCCAUGAGCAGCACAAUUCGGUAAUCUGUCUGAAAUCAGUUUUUGUAUAGAGAUCAAGACAAUUUUUUUGAGGUCCUUGGUGGCCUAGCGGUUAAGGAUUUGGCAUUAUCGCUGUUGUGGCUUGGGUUCAAACCCUGGCCUAGAACUAAUGUGUGCUAUGGGCGUGGCCGAAAAAAAGGGAAAAAAAAAAAA
rnacentral:lncRNA from 1 species